UUUCGAUGCGUUUCUACC
rnacentral:snRNA from 1 species